ncrna:unclassified sequences skipping-rope RNA
AACCGCAGAGGCGGAACAGGCAUCCGCCACCCGUGUUGGAGAUGCGGGAAAAGCCAACCCGCCUGCGGAA